rnacentral:rRNA from 1 species
GUUUGAUAUUUAAUUUAAUUGUUGAUUUUAGGUAUUUAUUUUUAAUAUAUUUAAUUGAAUGUUUUGUUGGGGUGACCGAAAAAUUAAAUUAACUUUUUUUUUAUUUUAUACUAAUUAGUAAUUUGUUGAUCCAAUUGUUUUGAUUAUAAGUUUAAAU